GAACGGAUCCAUAUUGAAACCUAGUGAUGUAUGGAUUAGUGGCGGACGGGUGAGUAACGCGUGGAUAACCUGCCGUAUACAGGGGGAUAACACUUAGAAAUAGGUGCUAAUACCGCAUAAGCGCACGGUUCCGCAUGGAACAGUGUGAAAAACUCCGGUGGUAUACGAUGGAUCCGCGUCUGAUUAGCCAGUUGGCGGGGUAACGGCCCACCAAAGCGACGAUCAGUAGCCGGCCUGAGAGGGUGAACGGCCACAUUGGGACUGAGACACGGCCCAAACUCCUACGGGAGGCAGCAGUGGGGAAUAUUGCACAAUGGGGGAAACCCUGAUGCAGCGACGCCGCGUGAGUGAAGAAGUAUCUCGGUACGUAAAGCUCUAUCAGCAGGGAAGAAAAUGACGGUACCUGACUAAGAAGCCCCGGCUAACUACGUGCCAGCAGCCGCGGUAAUACGUAGGGGGCAAGCGUUAUCCGGAUUUACUGGGUGUAAAGGGAGCGUAGAUGGCAGCGCAAGUCUGGAGUGAAAUGCCGGGGCCCAACCCCGGGACUGCGUUGGAACCUGUUGAACUGGAGUACAGGAGAGGUAAGCGGAAUUCCUAGUGUAGCGGUGAAAUGCGU
rnacentral:rRNA from 1 species